AGAAAGAUAAGCUAAUAGUAAGCUAUUAGGUUCAUACCCUAAGAAUAGAAAGUAAAUUUCUUCUUUCUA
rnacentral:tRNA from 1 species